UCCAGCUUCCGAAAGAUUGGUCGAGGAUUCACAGUAGAAUCCUUUAAUGCAUUCACGACAUGUCGGGAGAAAUCUUAGUAUAAAAAGAGGAGUUAUUUUUCUUCACCAUCACACAAAAAUGUAGUUUCACAACACCUCCGACAUACAAUCUUUCACCAAAUUACUACACACUCAAAAUCUUCCAACCCACUUCAACCUUUUCUCCUUCAAGCAAACAAGAGAAGGAACCGUGAAGAUAGUAAAAGGAUUCCUUUUCCAAUUCAUCAAGUUUUGCCAUUUUUCCUCUAAGUAUGUUUUCACGCUAAAUUCAUUCUUUUUCAAGCGUAUCUUUUAGCAUGUAGAAAAAUCAUACAGAACAUCGAUCAAAGUAAAGCAUGCUCCCUUUAUUGUCAAAUAUGCCAUAUUUUUAUUCCAAAUUCAAGAAACCUCCUCUCCGAUCAUUACAAAACCGACAUUGCUACUGUUGAAAACGACAGCCACUUCAGAAAUUAAUAAUGGAAGAUCUAACUGUUAAAAUUAGAUCUCCUUCGGUAGGAAUGAUGCUUUAUGAUUAAUCCACCUUUGGUUAAAUUUUUGUGAUGAUCGGAUAUUAUUUGGACCUCCGAACGUGAAGGAAACCGAGACUAUCUAUCUCUUGUUUGGCGGAAAAGAAAGAGAAAGAGAGGGAGAGAGAGGGAUAUGUUGAGAGACAAUGAGUAAUAAGAAGAUGGAAGCGUGAGCGGUCCAGCAAGGGAGAGUCCCUACUCGGACUAGUUUACACGUGGACUGUGGGUCAUCGAAAGGGUUGGCUGGUCUGGUGACCGUGGAAAGUGGCCACUUUCCCGUCACAAGAUGUUUCAAAUACGACGAAUUACUAAAAGAACUUAGAUCGCGCAAUCGAACUUUUAAGUAUGAGAUUUUGGUUGAGUUGUGAUGGAGUAGAGGGUGAUGAUCCAAGUGGGGCUUACUCUUGUGUCUAUACAGUACUCUCGGAGGUUCUGUCUUCAUACGUGGAACCGCGUUUAAUUGUUUCCGUUGUGCUAUUUAAGCAAGUUAAAUCAUGCUUUCUCCUUAUGACUCACAAUUGAUAAACAGUAUUGUAUGAACCUUUAACUCGAAUCUUUAUGAUUGAGCGUAUCCUAUUCAAGUAUUCCAUUUGAGAUGCUUCA